rnacentral:sRNA from 1 species
CGGAAGUGCCCUUCUGUGGCUGUGUGAUUAAUGCGUGAAGAACAUCAAUCAUCCCAGCUCAGAGGGCACUUUCUCCGUCACGACACCCGAAAUCAGCGAAUCGGGUCGGUGGAUUCAG